UACGAGGGGUGCAAGCGUUGCUCGGAAUUAUUGGGCGUAAAGCGCGCGCAGGCGGUCCUUUAAGUCUGAUGUGAAAGCCCACGGCUCAACCGUGGAGGGUCAUUGGAAACUGGGGGACUUGAGUGCAGAAGAGAAGAGUGGAAUUCCACGUGUAGCGGUGAAAUGCGUAGAGAUGUGGAGGAACACCAGUGGCGAAGGCGACUCUUUGGUCUGUAACUGACGCUGAGGCGCGAAAGCGUGGGGAGCAAACAGG
rnacentral:rRNA from 1 species